UACGAAGGGGGCUAGCGUUGCUCGGAAUCACUGGGCGUAAAGCGCACGUAGGCGGCUUUUUAAGUCAGGGGUGAAAUCCUGGAGCUCAACUCCAGAACUGCCUUUGAUACUGAGAAGCUUGAGUCCGGGAGAGGUGAGUGGAACUGCGAGUGUAGAGGUGAAAUUCGUAGAUAUUCGCAAGAACACCAGUGGCGAAGGCGGCUUACUGGACCGGUUCUGACGCUGAGGCGCGAAAGCGUGGGGAGCAAACAGG
rnacentral:rRNA from 1 species